AAAAUAAACUAUGGAAGCAACAAGAGUAUCAAGAUUCAAGAACAAGACAUAACCUCAAAUCAGUUAACUUAAGUGUGCUGAUAUUUUGUUUAGUGUGUGGUGUGUGUCACUGUUAGUUUAGAGUUGUUAUUUUUGUGACUGGGUAUUGGCAUAACCUACACCGAACAUCUUUUCACGUUUUGAUCCUUGGAGUAUUUGAUAACUCUGCAGCUUUGGUGGAAGUUAUUAUUUGGUAGCAGUGAAUAAUUUGCCUACGGUACCAAUUCUCCCGAGUGACAAAGUGGCUGUCUAGCAGCCUGUAGGCUGGGAAGGAGGAAUAAAUUUUUCUUUUGCAAUCUGCAUCUGAAGCCAGCUAUCUUGCAGGCAGAACCGGUACGCAAGAACACUAGGAUCGUGGUGUAAUGGAAAUAUAUGUUGUUGCUA